rnacentral:rRNA from 1 species
GGAUUAGAAACCCGGGUAGUCCACGCCCUAAACGAUGUCAACUAGCUGUUGGGUUCUUCGGAGCUUGGUAGCGCAGCUAACGCGUGAAGUUGACCGCCUGGGGAGUACGGUCGCAAGAAUUAAAACUCAAAGGAAUUGACGGGGACCCGCACAAGCGGUGGAUGAUGUGGAUUAAUUCGAUGCAACGCGAAAAAACCUUACCUAUCCUUGACAUGUCUGGAAUCCCGAAGAGAUUUGGGAGUGCUCGCAAGAGAACUGGAACACAGGUGCUGCAUGGCCGUCGUCAGCUCGUGUCGUGAGAUGUUGGGUUAAGUCCCGCAACGAGCGCAACCCUUG